GGAUGUGAGGGAGAUAUGACUGUGACAUCUGUCACCCCAUUGAUCACUGGGGUUGAUUCAGCUGAUCUGGCUGGCUAGGUGGGUGUUACCUUCCUCCUUAACCAAUCUAUGUGUGUCCCUGUUCCUUCUGGAAGCUGCCAGCACUCUCCAUUGAAGAUGAUGGCCUUCCCCGAGUAGAGAUGGGUCAGUCUUAGGUCCAGGAUAUAGGAGUAGCCGCGCUCCCCUGAUAGAACCUCCAAAAAAAAAAAAAAAACUCUCAAGAAUUGAAAGGAUGCCUUCUAUGAGCAGUAAUCCUUUUUUAGGGGAUAGUGGUAAGACAGAGUCAGCAGAUAGAUAAUGAUUUGAAUUUUUUCAUGCAUGACAAAAUAUAUUU
rnacentral:snRNA from 1 species